CGACCUCAGAUCAGGCGGGACUACCCGCCGGAUUUAAGCAUAUUAAUAAGCGGAGGAAAAGAAAACAACCGUGAUUCCCUUAGUAGCGGCGAGCGAACCGGGAAAAGCCCAUCGCCGAAUCUCGCCGCGCACUUUUGUGUCGCGGCACGUAUGAGAGUUGUGGCGUACGGGCCGGCCUCGUUGCCGGGGCGCACGUGACGGUCCAAGUCUCCCUUGAACGGGGCCAUGGCCCGCAGAUGGUGCCAGGCCAGUAGAGGCCGUCACAGCGUUCCGGGAUCGGACCGCGCCUUCGAGUCGGGUUGCUUGAGAGUGCAGCCCGAAGCGGGUGGUAAACUCCAUCUAAGGCUAAAUACGGCCACGAGACCGAUAGUUUACAAGUACCGUGAGGGAAAGUUGAAAAGAACUUUGAAGAGAGAGUUCAUAAGAACGUGAAACCGCUCGGUUGUAAACGGACAGAGCUCGCGAAUCCCCGCCGGGCGAAUUCACGGUCGGUCUAACCGCCGGCCGGAUCUUUCGCUCGGUUAGCGGACGUCGCGACCCGUUGGGCGCCGGCCGAAUGGCCCGGGUGACGUUUCGUCGCGUCGGUCGCGUUUCGGCGUGACCGUUCGCGCCGAGCCCCGGUGCUCAUGGUCGGCUCGCCCGACGGCAAGAACCGUCGACGCGGCCCCGUCGCAGGCGGGGUCCCGUCGGUCGGCGACGUGUUUCGAGCUACUUUCCGACCCGUCUUGAAACACGGACCAAGGAGUCUAACGUGUGCGCGAGUCAACGGUGAUCUUACGAAAAACCACGUUUGGCGCAAUGAAAGUGAACCGUUUACGGUGCGGACGAUGGCCUAGCGACCGAACCCACCGGCGUUCAAAGUCGCGCUGGUCCGCAGUCCGGGGGCGUCUCCGCCAAGUCGGCUUCGGCCGGCUGGGGGCGCACCCUUAGCGCACACGUUGGUACCCGAAAGAUGGUGAACUAUGCCUGGCCAGGAUGAAGUCAGGGGAAACCCUGAUGGAGGUCCGCAGCGAUUCUGACGUGCAAAUCGAUCGUCUGAGCUGGGUAUAGGGGCGAAAGACUAAUCGAACCAUCUAGUAGCUGGUUCCAUCCGAAGUUUCCCUCAGGAUAGCUGGCGCCGAUGUGUCCCGCCCGUUCGCGGGCGUACGGACGCCGGUGGGACUCCGCGC
rnacentral:ncRNA from 1 species